GAUGAACGCUGGCGGCGUGCCUAAUACAUGCAAGUCGAGCGAACAGACGAGGAGCUUGCUCCUCUGACGUUAGCGGCGGACGGGUGAGUAACACGUGGAUAACCUACCUAUAAGACUGGGAUAACUUCGGGAAACCGGAGCUAAUACCGGAUAAUAUAUUGAACCGCAUGGUUCAAUAGUGAAAGACGGUUUUGCUGUCACUUAUAGAUGGAUCCGCGCCGCAUUAGCUAGUUGGUAAGGUAACGGCUUACCAAGGCAACGAUGCGUAGCCGACCUGAGAGGGUGAUCGGCCACACGGGAACUGAGACACGGUCCAGACUCCUACGGGAGGCAGCAGUAGGGAAUCUGCCGCAAUGGGCGAAAGCCUGACGGAGCAACGCCGAGUGAGUGAUGAAGGUCUUCGGAUCGUAAAACUCUGUUAUUAGGGAAGAACAAAUGUGUAAGUAACUAUGCACGUCUUGACGGUACCUAAUCAGAAAGCCACGGCUAACUACGUG
rnacentral:rRNA from 1 species